rnacentral:rRNA from 1 species
GCUAUAACGCCAUUAAAUAUAACUUUCAACAACGGAUCUCUUGGCUCUCGCAUCGAUGAAGAACGCAGCGAAAUGCGAUAAGUAAUGUGAAUUGCAGAAUUCAGUGAAUCAUCGAAUCUUUGAACGCACCUUGCGCUCCUUGGUAUUCCGAGGAGCAUGCCUGUUUGAGUGUCAUGAAUAUCUCAACCCAACAGUUUUUGUAAUGAGAACUGGAGGGCUUGGACUUGGAGGCUUUGCCGGCGCUUGUCGGCUCCUCUCUAAAUUCAUUAGCUGAGUCUUUCGAGACGUAGCCUCGGUGUGAUAAUUUUCUACGCCGUGUGUUUGCGUUCUUGCUUGCGCCACCCUGCUCUUGCAGUUGUUGUGGCGGAGACUUCUGGCUUCUAAUCGUCUUCGGACAAUUCACUUUGACAUCUGACCUCAAAUCAGGUAGGACUACCCGCUGAACUUAAGCAUAUCAAUAAGCGGAGGA